rnacentral:rRNA from 1 species
GACGAACGCUGGCGGCAUGCCUAACACAUGCAAGUCGAACGGUAAGGCUUCCUUCGGGAAGUACACGAGUGGCGAACGGGUGAGUAACACGUGGGUAACCUACCCUUGACUGGGGGAUAACCGAGGGAAACUUCGGCUAAUACCGCAUAACGUGCAUUGCCUCAAGGUGGUGUACCAAAGCUCCGGCGGACAAGGGUGGGCCCGCGGCGGAUUAGCCUGGUGGUGGGGUAAGGGCUUACCAAGGCGACGAUCUGUAGCUGGUCUGAGGGGACGGUCAGCCGCACUGGAACUGAGACACGGUCCGGACUCUUACGGGAGGCAGCGGUGGGGAAUCUUGCGCAAUGGGCGAAAGCCUGACGCAGCAAUGCCGCGUGAGGGAAGACGGCCUUAGGGUUGUAAACCUCUUUCAGCAGGGACGAACACAGACGGUACCUGCAGAAGAAGCCCCGGCUAACUACGUGCCAGCCGCCGCUGUAA